CCCUAUGGGGUGCAGCAGGCGGGGAUGGUAGCGGGAAGCUCGAGGUUGCGGGUGCGGUAGAAGGUGCGCAAAUCGUCGUUGGCGCUGAGGACGCUUUUGGCCUGGCGGAGGCGGGAGUUGGCGGAGCGGAGGAGUUGCUGGGCGCGUUCGUCAUCAUCGGCGGCGGCAGCGAGCUGGCGUUUGCCCUCUUUCCAGCGCCAGAGGAGGUCGGCAGUGAGCUUGGAGAGGGGAAAGUCGUUGGGGGCAGCGGCGCCGGGGUAGAGGACUUCGGAGAUGAUUUGGCGGAGGGCGUGGAGGUUUUGUUCGCGGGUGUCUUCGGCGGGGCGGUCGUGGCCGGAGUAGGCGCGGUAGGCGGUCUCGAGUUCAACGAGGGUGGUUUGGCGGGAGGGC
rnacentral:rRNA from 1 species